GUCACCACUACUGAGGUGAAGCGGUGGCCACUGGUCUCCACUGUUCCCAUGCGGUUCCUUCCCCAGCACAGGCCCAGCCACCCACUCGCUGCUGUUCCUGUGAAGAACACCAUCACAGACACUGUCAUCUUCACGUCUCACAAGAACAGCUGCUUCUGCUACUGCUGCUGCCCUUUUGGUUUCACUUCUACUACUGUUGGUGCUGCUGCUUCAAAAUUACUCAUACGUUCUUGUAGUGAUCUUCGGCUACGCUGCUGUUACUACUCUCAGCAAGUGAGCAAAAUCACGAGGGGGCGCCGUGACCUUAGGCCCAUAAACUCCAUGCCAUGCCACGCCUCAUAUCAUAUCAGCGGCCACGCCCACGCCCCGGCCUGCUGUCACGUGCAUGCUGGUGUUCGCCCUCUACAUCAUCACCCAUGCUUUCAUUCACGCCCAAUGCCGCAGCCUAGACUUCAGGUGAGUGUAUUGAAAUUUCUUGCAUGAAUACAAUGUGAAGUAAAGAUAUAAUUAAGGAAAUGGUGCUCGUAAGCUUUGUCGAUACACAGUAAUACACAUGGAAAUAAUGAGACUACAGGAGGCCAGAUGGAGCACACGUGGCAGCUACUGAGGGUUGGUUAUUCACUAAAAUCCCUUCCCAUCCUUAAACGUUAGAGGGGCCUUUAACGAAAUAUGAUCCCCGCAGUUACCGGGUUAAACAGCUCUAAUCUUCAUAUAAACCUUUCAAUAUGUUCGCCUGCUCAGUUUUUUCCACUCUUCCACCACCCUGCUCGUGUACCAGCUCUUGCCUCUUUCCUUCUUGAACCUGAAUUUAUCCAACUUAAAACAAUUGCUGCGUGUUCUUACAUCAGUUUUUUAUUUUUUUUUAUUUUUAUUUUUUUUACGUCUUGGCCUAUUGCGCCGGUAGGCUUCUUCCCGGUGGAUCCUGAUGGUCGGUCCAAGGCUUCUUCCCGGUGGGUCCUGAUGGUCGGUCCAAGGCUUCUUCCCGGUGGAUCCUGAUGGUCGGUCCAAGGCUUCUUCCCGGUGGAUCCUGAUGGUCGGUCCAAGGCUUCUUCCCGGUGGAUCCUGAUGGUCGGUCCAAGGCUUCUUCCCGGUGGGUCCUGAUGGUCGGUCCAAGGCUUCUUCCCGGUGGAUCCUGAUGGUCGGUCCAAGGCUUCUUCCAGGUGGUUCCUGCUGGUCGGUCCAAGGCUUCUUCCCGGGGUAUCCUGAUGGUCGGUCCAAGGCUUCUUCCCGGUGGAUCCUGAUGGUCGGUCCAAGGCUUCUUCCCGGUGGAUCCUGAUGGUCGGUCCAAGGCUUCUUCCCGGUGGAUCCUGAUGGUCGGUCCAAGGCUUCUUCCCGGUGGAUCCUGAUGGUCGGCCCAAGGCUUCUUCCCGGUGGGUCCUGAUGGUCGGCCCAGCCCGUUCUGGCGCAGGCGAGUGUUUAUAGUGGCGCCAUCUUGCAUGUAAGUGCUUGAUAUAAAUUGCCUAUAUUAAUCACCUUAACCCAUUUAAAACCUGGAAUCCCCUCGCAGUCUACGUCUUGUCAGAGAAUGUAGGUUGUUUUUUUUAGUCUUAACCUAUAUUUUUUUUGAUAGACGAUAAUAGUGAUGCAAGAGAAUUGGUGUUUUUGCUUCAUUAUAAAGGAUGGCUAUGAAUGGU